ensembl:lncRNA
CAAGGCAGCUGACUGGUUAAGCCUCAGCUGCCUUUAUCUUCCUCUCACUCUGAUGCGAGCUAAUCCCAGGAGAGCCUACAAAUGCAACGGAAAACAUCUGGCUGGAUAUUGUGAGUGUAGGAGCAAGAACAAACUGUUUUCUAGCAGCUGCAGUUCUCUGCAGGUAUGGGGUUGAGGAUCCAGGGAGGCUGCCUGACCCACAUUGGAAGGAAUGUCUCGAUCCUGGGUUCACUUACAUUAUAAGCAGCGCAAGAAUUCGGCGAAGAAACGAAUGUAGCAGAUAAACAGGCCAGGUGCUGGGGAUGCAAAUGAAAUCGAUGACAGAUGUGCUGACUGCUGUCAGAGCGAGCGGUCCAGAUUCCCGUGUGCUGGUAUCCAUGGGCUCUGCCUUGCCAAGCUGCCAGUCUGGAGCGUCACACCUUACUGCCUUUAAAGAUUGCCCUGCAGAGAUAGAGGGAAAUGGCAAUUUUUACAUGAUGCAGUCUGGCGACCCAGGAGAUUUGAAGUCAGAACUGGUGCCAAGAUUUACCCAGGAGAGCAAGCAGAGGCAAAAACAGAGAACCUGGGCCAAAAGGGGGGAAAAAAGAGAAGAAAGAAGAGGAAGGGUGGGGGCUGGGGAAACCAGAGUCAACUCUCCUGGGGAGAGGGGGUUCUCUCAAAAGGCUGGAACUCAGGUCCACUGAGCGGGUGAUGGCCCUGUUAUGAGGAGUCUGUGGGUUCUAAAGAAAGUCAAAGGGAAGAGGUCGGCUUUUUUUGCAUGCCCUAAAUUGUA